rnacentral:rRNA from 1 species
AGUCACUGACAUUAGAUACCCCGGUAGUCCCAGCCGUAAACGAUGCGCGUUAGGUGUAUCGACGACCACGAGUCGUCGAGGUGCCGGAGAGAAGUUGUUAAGUCUGCUACUUGGGAGUACGUCCGCAAGGAUGAAACUUAAAGGAAUUGGCGGGGGAGCACCGCAACGGGAGGAGCGUGCGGUUUAAUUGGAUUCAACACCGGAAACUCACCAGGGGAGACUGUUACAUGAAACCCAGACUAAUGAUCUUGGUUGAUUUUCAG